rnacentral:rRNA from 1 species
UACGAAGGGGGCAAGCGUUGCUCGGAAUCACUGGGCGUAAAGGGCGCGUAGGCGGAUCUUUAAGUCGGGGGUGAAAGCCCAGGGCUCAACCCUGGAAUUGCCUUCGAUACUGAAGAUCUCGAGACCGGAAGAGGUAAGUGGAACUGCGAGUGUAGAGGUGAAAUUCGUAGAUAUUCGGAAGAACACCAGUGGCGAAGGCGGCUCACUGGACCGGUAUUGACGCUGAGGUGCGAAAGCGUGGGGAGCAAACAGG